rnacentral:sRNA from 2 species
UUGGGGAGUAGCUACCCGCUUCAGGUGGGGCCAUCGUCAACACGCUUGAUCCUUCAGGAUCGUGGCGGUGGCAGCAAACGGACGUUUGCCCAGCAAGACCAAUGACGCUGCAUUCCGCUUUGAGGCCGGGGGUGCGUGCGUUAUUUGGUUAUCGGCCCCCGAGAUU